AAAGACGGAUAUUGUUUCCUCAUAUUUUAAUCUCUGGAAUAAAGCUACACUUCAUCAAAUAAGGAAACGGGUUUGCAUAAGAACCACCUGGGAGGCUUGAUAAAAUGCAGAGUACUGGGCCCUGUCCUCAGAGUUUCCGAUUCAGGGAGUAUCCAGUGGGCCUUCAAAUUUACAUUUCCAACAAGGUCUCAGGCAAGACCACAAGGAUGUAUGUAUGGCUUCUUAGUAGUGUUUUCAGCCAGGUGUUUGAAAACCUCUUGAUGCAGGUAAGACCAAGAAAGCAGCAAGCAUCAAAGCAUCAGCAUUCAAUGAAACAUGUAUGAAAUUUUUUGAUGAUAUCUACCCAACAGUAUUUUAUUUGUAAUUACAAUUAAAUGUGAAUAACUUUGAGUCAUGUGAUCA
rnacentral:lncRNA from 1 species